rnacentral:rRNA from 1 species
AUCCUGGCUCAGGACGAACGCUGGCGGCGUGCUUAACACAUGCAAGUCGAACGAGAGCGUAGAGAAAGCUUGCUUUUUCUACAAUCUAGUGGCAAACGGGUGAGUAACGCGUAAACAACCUGCCCUACGGAUGGGGACAACAGCUGGAAACGGCUGCUAAUACCGAAUACGUUCCGAAAGUCGCAUGACUGUCGGAAGAAAGGAUGGCCUCUAUUUAUAAGCUAUCGCCGGAGGAGGGGUUUGCGUCUGAUUAGCUAGUUGGAGGGGUAACGGCCCACCAAGGCGACGAUCAGUAGCCGGUCUGAGAGGAUGAACGGCCACAUUGGAACUGAGACACGGUCCAGACUCCUACGGGAGGCAGCAGUGGGGAAUCUUCCGCAAUGGGCGAAAGCCUGACGGAGCAACGCCGCGUGAGUGAAGAAGGAUUUCGGUUCGUAAAGCUCUGUUGUUAGGGAAGAAUGAUUGUGUAGUAACUAUACACAGUAGAGACGGUACCUAACCAGAAAGCCACGGCUAACUACGUGCCAGCAGCCGCGGUAAUACGUAGGUGGCAAGCGUUGUCCGGAAUUAUUGGGCGUAAAGCGCGCGCAGGCGGAUUGGUCAGUCUGUCUUAAAAGUUCGGGGCUUAACCCCGUGAUGGGAUGGAAACUGCCAAUCUAGAGUAUCGGAGAGGAAAGUGGAAUUCCUAGUGUAGCGGUGAAAUGCGUAGAUAUUAGGAAGAACACCAGUGGCGAAGGCGACUUUCUGGACGAAAACUGACGCUGAGGCGCGAAAGCCAGGGGAGCGAACGGGAUUAGAUACCCCGGUAGUCCUGGCCGUAAACGAU